rnacentral:rRNA from 1 species
UACGAAGGGUGCAAGCGUUAAUCGGAAUUACUGGGCGUAAAGCGCGUGUAGGCGGCUGUUUAAGUCUGUUGUGAAAUCCCCGGGCUCAACCUGGGAAUGGCGAUGGAUACUGGGCAGCUAGAGUGUGUCAGAGGAUGGUGGAAUUCCCGGUGUAGCGGUGAAAUGCGUAGAGAUCGGGAGGAACAUCAGUGGCGAAGGCGGCCAUCUGGGACAACACUGACGCUGAAGCACGAAAGCGUGGGGAGCAAACAGG